rnacentral:rRNA from 1 species
UACGUAGGUGACCAGCGUUGUCCGGAUUUACUGGGCGUAAAGAGCGCGCAGGCGGUCGUUCAAGUCGAGUGUGAAAGCCCCCGGCUCAACUGGGGAGGGUCACUCGAUACUGAUCGACUUGAAGGCAGGAGAGGGAAGCGGAAUUCCCGGUGUAGUGGUGAAAUGCGCAGAUAUCAGGAGGAACACCGGUGGCGAAGGCGCCACUCUGGGCCGAAACUGACGCUGAGGAGCGAAAGCGUGGGUAGCAAACAGG